CCGCGAGACUUUGCGAGGGGCCUCCGUGUGCCAAAAAUAGUCCGCGGGCAAAGCCGCGUCCAAAAAUAACUGCCCGAAGGCCGGGGCGCCAAGUUCGUCCAGCGGAAAAGGGCCACAAAAACGGGUGGGCUAUAGCCUUGGGGGGUGGCGCCGGCCAUCUUCGUCCGCCGGACUCGGAAUGCCGCGAGACUUUGCGAGGGGCCUCCGUGUGCCAAAAAUAGGCCGCGGACAAACCCAUGCCCAAAAAUAACUGCCCGAAGGCCGGGGCGCCAAGUUCGUCCAGCGGAAAAAGGCCACAAAAACGGGUGGGCUAUAGCCUUGGGGGGUGGGGCUGGCCAACUUCGUCCGCCGGAAUCGGAAUGCCGCGAGACUUUGCGAGGGGCCUCCGUGUGCCAAAAAUAGUCCGCGGGCAAUGCCGCGCCCAAAAAUAACCGCCCGAAGGCCGGGGCGCCAAGUUCGUCCAGCGAAAAAAGGCCACAAAAACGGGUGGGCUAUAGCCUUGGGGGGUGGAGCUGGCCCACUUCGUCCGCCGGACUCGAACUGCUGCGAGACUUUGCAAGGGGCCUCCGUGUGCCAAAAAUAGGCCGCGGGCAAUGCCGCACCCAAAAAUAACCGCCCGAAUGCCGGGGCGCCAAGUUCGUCCAGCGGAAAAUGGCCACAAAAACGGGUGGGCUAUAGCCUUGGGGGGUGAUGCUGGCCAACUUCGUCCGCCGGACUCAGAAUGCCGCGAGACUUUGCGAGGGGCCUCCGUGUGCCAAAAAUAGCCCGCGGCCAAAGCCGUGCCCAAAAAUAACCGCCCGAAGGCCGGGGCGCAAAGUUCGUCCAGCGGAAAAAGGCCACAAAAACGGGUGGGCUAUAGCCUUGGGGGGUUGGGCUGGCCAACUUCGUCCGCCGGACUCGGAAUGCCGCGAGACUUGGCGAGGGGCCUCCGUGUGCCAAAAAUAGGCUGCGGGCAAAGCCGCGCCCAAAAAUAACCGCACGACGGCCGGGGCGCCAGGUUCGUCCCGAGGAAAAAGGCCACAAAAAUGGGUGGGCUAUAGCCUUGGGGGGUGAUGCUGGCCCACUUCAUCCGCCGGACUCGGAAUGCCGCGAGACUUUGCGAGGGGCCUCCGUGUGCCAAAAAUAGGCCGCGGCAAAUCCAUACCCAAAAAUAACUGCCCGAAGGCCGGGGCGCCAAGUUCGUCCAGCGGAAAAAGGCCACAAAAACGGGUGGGCUAUAGCCUUGGGGGGUGGGGCUGGCCAACUUCGUCCGCCGGACUCGGAAUGCCGCGAGACUUUGCGAGGGGCCUCAGUGUGCCAAAAAUAGGCCGUGGGCAAUACCGCGCCAAAAAAUAACCGCCCGAAGGCCGGGGCGCCAAGUAUCGUCCAGCGAAAAA
rnacentral:lncRNA from 1 species